AAUGUUGAUCACGUACAGUAGUGUCUCUUUUUUUUUCAGUUUUAUUGAACAUAGCGUUAACAUACAUAAUCCUACUCGUACCGUAGUGUCUCUUUAUUCUGAAAUCCUGUCUUUGUUGCGUCACUUCCUUUUUCCGGUGCACGCCAUUGUUGCCGCGAAAAAAUAAAGAUAGUUUGUUUUUAGCAAUGUCAACUAAAAAAGAAAGAGCGGAGAUUGGCAAAUUCGUGCGUCAUCAAUUACGAGAUAAACCAGACCUGAGCAAACUAACUUUGGGGCUUUUAAAAAGACAAUAUCUGGUCCAUGUGGGACGCGAGUCAUUAAGUCCUGAAGCGAAGGCGGUCAUGAAGCAAGUGGUUCAAGAGGAGCUUGCAAAGAUGCAGGGUAAUGACGAUGAUGAAAGCGAUUCUGAAGAAGUCGAUGAGCCCCAAAACAAAAGGAAGAGAGAAAACCAGGAUGAAGAAAGUGAGGAAGAAAUUGAAUCCAGGGGAAAAAAAAGACGAUUCACGCCUUCAACAUUAUCAUCAGAUGAAACUGGAAGUGAAGAUGAACGUCAAUCAAGAUCAUCGUCUGAAGGUAGAACGCAAGAAGUAAAAACAAUCAGUCCGAAGAGAAAUCCGGAGAAGAAAGAGGAGCUUGUGAGCGACAACUCUACAGAUGAAGAAAUGAACGAGUCAAAGAGUAAAUCUAACGAAACAGGUGCUUGUAGUAGUCCUGAGCAAAAGCUGGACAGCCAAAAGAUCACAGCAAAUGGCAAAAAAGAACAAAUAAAAAAUGCAAGCGAUGGAAGGAAGACGUCUGAAAGUGAUGCAGAGAGCAGUUCUGGAAAGAGUGAUGCAAGCGAUGGCAAGGUUUCACCUGAAAACGGUAAAUAUACAAACUUUCAUCCAUAUUACAAAUAUUUAAAUCUUUUAUUUUGUCCGUUUCUGGUAACAAAAUGA
rnacentral:lncRNA from 1 species